rnacentral:rRNA from 1 species
UACGUAGGGUGCAAGCGUUGUCCGGAAUUAUUGGGCGUAAAGAGCGUGUAGGCGGCCCGAUUAGUCCGCUGUGAAAGUCCAGGGCUCAACCCUGGAAUGCCGGUGGAUACUGUCGGGCUAGAGUCCGGAAGAGGCGAGUGGAAUUCCUGGUGUAGCGGUGAAAUGCGCAGAUAUCGGAAGGAACACCGGUGGCGAAAGCGGCGCGCUGGAUCCCUUCUGACGCUGAGGCGCGAAAGCCAGGGGAGCGAACGGG